AGAGGUCACAAGUUUGAGGCCAUAGCAGAAGUGAUCAUAACGCAGCCUGUCAGACUCCAAUGAAUCUGUGAAUUCUGCU
rnacentral:ribozyme from 1 species